ensembl:snRNA U6 U6 spliceosomal RNA
UUGCUUUGGCAGCACAUAUAGUAAAAUUGGAAUGAUACAGAGAAGAUUAGCAUGGCCCCUGUGCAAGGAUGACAUGCAAAUUCCUGAAGCAUUCCAUAUUUUU